GAUUGCAGGCUGCAACUCGCCUGCAUGAAGUCGGAAUUGCUAGUAAUCGUAGGUCAGCAUACUACGGUGAAUACGUUCCCGGGCCUUGUACACACCGCCCGUCAAACCAUGAGAGUUGGCAACACCCGAAGUCGGUAGUCUAACCGCAAGGAGGACGCCGCCGAAGGUGGGGUCGAUGAUUAGGGUUAAGUCGUAACAAGGUACC
rnacentral:rRNA from 1 species